AUUGAACGCUGGCGGCAGGCCUAACACAUGCAAGUCGAACGGUAACACAAAGCGACUUUCUGCUUUGCUGACGAGUGUCGGACGGGGGAGUAAUGUCCGGGAGACUGUACGAUUUCGGGGGGUAACUCCUGGAGACGGUAACUCUAAUAGCAUAUAGUCCCUAGGCCAGAGAGCGGGAGCUUUUGGCCUCUUGCCAUCGUGUGUGACCCGAUGGGAUUAGCUUGUUGGUGGGGUAACGGCGCACCAAGGCGACGAUCCCUAGCUGGUCUGAGAGGAUGACCAGCCACACUGGAACUGAGACACGGUCCAGACUCCUACGGGAGGCAGCAGUGGGGAAUAUUGCACAAUGGGCGCAAGCCUGAUGCAGCCAUGCCGCGUGGAUGAAGAAGGCCUUCGGGUUGUAAAGUACUUUCGGUGGGGAGGAAGGGAGGAAGGUUAAUACCUCUGCUUAUUGACGUUACCCGCAGAAGAAGCACCGGCUAACUCCGUG
rnacentral:rRNA from 1 species